GUGGGUUUUUUUCUUAAAUUUGUCUUGUUUUUCUUUUAUGUUUACUCUGCUUCUCCUUCUAUCUAAUGUUAGGGUUGGUUUUGAUACAAAUCAUCAUUUCCCGAAAAUAUUCGAACAUGAUAAUAUUUACAAACUAUUGUUGAUCAUAAACUCCUUAAAGGCGAUUGUAAAAUUAUUUUUGCAAGAAAGUCUUAGAUGGAGUUUAAGCGUGGUCUUUUUGUACUGAAAUCUUUU
rnacentral:lncRNA from 1 species